rnacentral:misc_RNA from 1 species
GAUGAAGAACGCAGCGAAAUGCGAUAAGUAAUGUGAAUUGCAGAAUUCAGUGAAUCAUCGAAUCUUUGAACGCACAUUGCGCCCGCCAGUAUUCUGGCGGGCAUGCCUGUUCGAGCGUCAUUACAACCCUCAGGCCCCCGGGCCUGGCGUUGGGGAUCGGCGGAAGCCCCCUGCGGGCACAACGCCGUCCCCCAAAUACAGUGGCGGUCCCGCCGCAGCUUCCAUUGCGUAGUAGCUAACACCUCGUAACUGGAGAGCGGCGCGGCCACGCCGUAAAACACCCAACUUCUGAAUGUUGACCUCGAAUCAGGUAGGAAUACCCGCUGAACUUAAGCAUAUCAAUAAGCGGAGGA